rnacentral:rRNA from 1 species
UUACUAGAGUAGCACUCGCAUAUCAAUAAGCGGAGGAAAAGAAACUAACAAGGAUUCCCCUAGUAACGGCGAGUGAAGCGGGAAGAGCUCAAAUUUGAAAUCUUCAAGGUUCUACCUUGACGAAUUGUAGUUUAAAGAAGUGUUUUCUGUUGGAGUUUUGGUAAAAGUUCUUUGGAAUAGGACAUCAUAGAGGGUGAGAAUCCCGUAUUUGACCGUUACUUUCCAGCUGUGUGAUACACUUUCAAAGAGUCGGAUUGUUUGGGAAUGCAGUCCAAAAUGGGUGGUAAAUUUCAUCUAAAGCUAAAUACUGGCGAGAGACCGAUAGCGAACAAGUACCGUGAGGGAAAGAUGAAAAGAACUUUGAAAAGAGAGUUAAACAGUACGUGAAAUUGUCAAAAGGGAAGCGUUUGACACCAGUGUUGUUUUCUCGAAAAUCAAUUAAAUGAAUGUAUGUUGUGUUAAGGUAUUGACUUUAUCAGGCUUGCUGCACUCUUUUCCUGAAUCUUUUUAAUGCACUUUUCGGUUAACAAGUCAACAUCAAUUUCUUUUGUUGUAAAAGAGUCAUUGGAAGGUGGCCUUCUUUUCGGAGAAAGUGUUUAUAGCCUUUGAUCUCUGCAACCGGAGAGACUGAGGUCUGCAGCGUAGACUCUUCGGGGUUAGAUACAUUUGUGCUAAGCUAUAGCUUUUUAUAGACAACUUGUUGACUAUAUUUAGUCUUGUGGCUUACUCGCUUAUGCUAUUUUACCUACGCUUAGGAUGUUGAAGAUAUGCGCGACACG